UACGUAGGGUGCGAGCGUUAAUCGGAAUUACUGGGCGUAAAGCGUGCGCAGGCGGUGAUGUAAGACAGAUGUGAAAUCCCCGGGCUCAACCUGGGAACUGCAUUUGUGACUGCAUCGCUGGAGUGCGGCAGAGGGGGAUGGAAUUCCGCGUGUAGCAGUGAAAUGCGUAGAUAUGCGGAGGAACACCGAUGGCGAAGGCAGCCCCCUGGGCUAGCACUGACGCUCAGGCACGAAAGCGUGGGGAGCAAACAGG
rnacentral:rRNA from 1 species